AAAAAGGGCAUCUGCUGUGAUUUGCAUAGUUGUGGAAGGGAUUCACUGACACAAUUAUGGAAUUGCUAUCAAGAGAUUUCGGAUGCACUAUAUUUAUAACCUGGUGUUGUCAGUGACGGCUCAUCUUGGUGCCCCA